CACCCCUUGCUCUACCCACAUGAAACAAUUUGUAGUUCUGUAGCCGAGACUUGGUAUCUCAGGCCCUGCACCUUUCUUUACAGGCCUUUCCAUCUUCCUAGAGUGCCUAACCUGGCCUGUGUGCUUGCAAGCUUCUGCUCAUUCUUCAAUACCCAGCAGAGACUUCCUCCUCCAUGCAGCCUUCCAAGACCCACCCGAGUACAGGUCACUCACUCUGGGGAAAGCCACCUGCCGUGCUGUGAGGACAUUCAAACUGCCUAUGGAGAGGCCCACAUAGUGAGAAAUUAAGGCCCCUGCCAAAACCCACGUGAGCCAUCUUGGAAACAGAUCCUUGAGCCCUAGGCAAGCCCUUCAAUAAUGUAGUGCCAGCCAACAUCUUGACAGCAGCCUGCAAGAGACUCUGAGUUAGAAACACCCAGCGAAGCCAUUCCUGAAUUCCUAAUCCUCAGAAUCAGCAUGAUAAUAGUAAAUGCUUAUUAUCAGAUACCAUCAGCAUAAUGUCAUCGAUGCAGUGGACCAAUGUGACAUGGGGAACAUAAAGAUGGUCACGAUUUUUGCAGACUCCAUGUGCAAAGUAUUAUAGGCCUUUCCAUCUAUCCGGAGUGACCUACCAGAGACAGGACAGUUUGACCAGCAAGCUUCUGAUCACUCUUCAACACCCAGCAAGAAGUCUUAUCCUCCACGCAGCCUUCUAAGACCUCUCUAAGCACAGGUAUCAGACCCUCCUCUGGAUCACUCUGUCUUGUUACUGCAUUUAUCUCACUGGAUUUCAGUGAAGUGUGUAGACAACUAAUUUAUGCCUGCCUGAUCUGUGAGCUCUUCAUUCAAAGCAGUUGGCUCCUGAGUACAGGAUAAACCCCUAGAAUUGAAUAAAUUUGGUCUUACCUCA